UACGUAGGGUGCGAGCGUUGUCCGGAAUUACUGGGCGUAAAGAGCUUGUAGGUGGUUUGUCGCGUUGUUCGUGAAAUCUCACGGCUUAACUGUGAGCGUGCGGGCGAUACGGGCAGACUAGAGUACUGCAGGGGAGACUGGAAUUCCUGGUGUAGCGGUGGAAUGCGCAGAUAUCAGGAGGAACACCGGUGGCGAAGGCGGGUCUCUGGGCCAUUACUGACGCUGAGGAGCGAAAGCGUGGGGAGCGAACAGG
rnacentral:rRNA from 1 species